rnacentral:rRNA from 1 species
AUAUCCUUGAAGAUUUUUCUAGGAAAGAAGAGCAAGCUUUUUUCUUUGAUGUUCACCAAAACAACUCUUUUUUCUUGUUGUGGGUCACACACUGAGUGUAUUUGGUAAUACGAUAUUAUAUGUAUCAAUGACCUGGUGAACCCGCUUAUUAAUCAUUAG